CCAGGGUCUUCGCCAGGGCCAGGUUUCCUUACAAUGACCGCGUUACACUGGAUGCCAGACGUUUCAGAGUUGAAUGGAGAACAUUUCCGUUUGAUGGACUUGGGGGAGUCCUGCUCACUGUGGUUGCUUUCCAGCCGCUGUCCAUU